rnacentral:lncRNA from 1 species
GGCUCCCGUACGGUGGACGGCGACGCUGGGUGACCCGGGGUGCAAGAAUUCAGGGGUUGGGAAGGUGUGAGCCGCAAACCCAGCGGAGGGCGGGAAGAAGGAGGAGGCCUCUAGGGUGGUCGGGGGACUGGGGGCCCCGCCGGCAGAGGUCCCUCGGCCUCCUGACUGACUGACUGCGGCCGCCUCCGGCCAGGACGCUGGGAGCUGCCUGCGGGAAGGUGCGGGGAGCGGAGCCAUGGCCUCCGGUGCGUAUAACCCGUAUAUAGAGAUAAUUGAACAACCCAGGCAGAGGGGAAUGCGUUUUAGAUACAAAUGUGAAGGGCGAUCAGCAGGCAGCAUUCCAGGGGAGCACAGCACAGACAACAACCGAACAUACCCUUCUAUCCAGAUUAUGAACUAUUAUGGAAAAGGAAAAGUGAGAAUUACAUUAGUAACAAAGAAUGACCCAUAUAAACCUCAUCCUCAUGAUUUAGUUGGAAAAGACUGCAGAGACGGCUACUAUGAAGCAGAAUUUGGACAAGAACGCAGACCUUUGUUUUUCCAAAAUUUGGGUAUUCGAUGUGUG